AGGUCAAGCGAACAAGGGCGCAGGGCGAAUGCCUUGGCACUGGGAGCCGAUGAAAGACGUGAUAAGCUGCGAUAAGCUUCGGGGAGCUGCAAAUAAGCAUUGAUCCGGAGAUUUCUGAAUGAGGAAACUCACCUGGGUUCAUACUCAGGUACGUUAUACUGAACUUAAAAAUAGGUAUAUCGAGGGAACCGCCUGAACUGAAACAUCUAAGUAGGGCGAGGAAGAGACAUCAAACGAGAUUCCGUAAGUAGUGGCGAGCGAACGCGGAAGAGGGCAAACCGGGAGUAGAAAUACUCCCGGGGUACGGACUGCUUUUAGGACUUAAUCUGUUAACCGAACGGCAUGGGAAGGCCGGUCAGAGAGUGUGAGAACCACGUAGGUGAAAACGGAGAGAGCUGCGCAGGAUCCAGAGUACGGCCAGACACGUGAAACCUGGUCGGAAUAUGGGGGGACCACCCUCCAACCCUAAAUACUACCCAGUGACCGAUAGCGUAUAGUACUGUGAAGGAAAGGUGAAAAGCACCCCGGGAGGGGAGUGAAAAAGAACCUGAAACCCUGUGCCUACAAGCACCUAGAGCACGUCAAUGUGUGAUAGGGUACUUUUUGUAGAACGGUCCGGCGAGCGAUUGUAUGCAGCAAGGUUAAGGACUUAAGGUCUGGAGCCGAAGCGAAAGCGAGUUUGAAAAGGGCGUUAAGUUGCAUACAAUGGGCCCGAAACCGGGUGACCUACCCAUGGUCAGGUUGAAGUGGAAGUAAAAUUCCAUGGAGGACCGAACCGACCUCCGUUGAAAAGGCGGCGGAUGAACUGUGGGUAGCGGAGAAAUUCCAAUCGAACCCGGAGAUAGCUGGUUCUCCCCGAAAUAGUUUUAGGACUAGCCUCAAGUUAGAUACCUGGAGGUAAAGCACUGAAUAGCCUAGCGGCCGAGAGGUUAGCGAAGCUUAUCAAACUCAGAAUGCCAGAGUAUUGAUGCUUGGGAGUCAGACAGUGUCAGAUAAAUGUCAUUGUCAAAAGGGAAACAGCCCAGAUCUACAGCUAAGGUCCCAAAGUCAGGUUAAGUGGAAAACGAUGUGAAGAUACGUAGACAACCAGGAUGUUGGCUCAGAAGCAGCCACACAUUCAAAGAGUGCGUAAUAGCUCACUGGUCGAGCGUCUUUGCGCGGAGAAUUUAACGGGGCUAAACCUGACACCGAAGCUUAGGCAAUACAGCAAUGUAUUGGGUAGGGGAGCGUUGUAUACGCGGUGAAACAGUAGCGCAAGCGGCUGUGGAGUGUAUAGAAGUGAGAAUGCCGGAAUGAGUAGCGCGAAUGCAGUGAGAAUCUGCAUGGCCGAAAGCCUCAGGUUUCUGGAGGAAGGUUCGUCCGCUCCAGGUUAGUCGGGAGCUAAGGUGAGGCCUAACGGCGUAGCCGAUGCACAGACGGUAGAGAUUCCGUCACCACCAAAAGAGUUAAGCACAGGGACACAUUUGAAGUCUCGGAGCCGGGUGUUGGUUCCGGUAGCGAUCGAGGGAAGUUAGUACCGAAGUCCGGGAUGGAAGAUGGCGAGAAAAGCUGUGUGUAUUUCUGCGGUGCCCGUACCGCAAACCGACACAGGUAGGUAGGAAGAAGAUUCUAAGGCCAACGGGAGAAGGGUUGUUAAGGAACUCGGCAAAUUGACCCCGUAACUUCGGGAGAAGGGGUGCUCCAGAGAUGGAGCCGCAGAGAAUCGGCCCAAGCAACUGUUUACCAAAAACACAGGUUUGUGCUAAAUCGAAAGAUGACGUAUACGAGCUGACGCCUGCCCGGUGCUGGAAGGUUAAGAGGAGAUGUGCAAGCAUUGAAUCGAAGCCCCAGUGAACGGCGGCCGUAACUAUAACGGUCCUAAGGUAGCGAAAUUCCUUGUCAGGUAAGUUCUGACCCGCAUGAAAGGCGUAAUGAUUUGGGCACUGUCUCGACAGCCCGCCCGGCGAAAUUGUAGUACCGGUGAAGAUGCCGGUUACCCGCGACAAGACGGAAAGACCCCAUGGAGCUUUACUGUAGCCUAAUAUUGGGUUUCGAUGUUGCAUGCACAGGAUAGAUGGGACACAGGGAAACAAGUGCUNNNNNNNNNNNNNNNNNNNNNNNNNNNNNNNNNNNNNNNNNNNNNNNNNNNNNNNNNNNNNNNNNNNNNNNNNNNNNNNNNNNNNNNNNNNNNNNNNNNNNNNNNNNNNNNNNNNNNNNNNNNNNNNNNNNNNNNNNNNNUUUGUGGAGUGGCCGUUGGGAUACCAUCCUUGCGAUAUUGGAAUUCUAACCUGCGCCUUUGAAUCAAGGCGGGGGACAUUGUUAGGUGGGCAGUUUGACUGGGGCGGUCGCCUCCUAAAGAGUAACGGAGGCGUUCAAAGGUUCGCUCAGCUUGAACGGAAAUCAAGCAAAAGAGUGCAAACGCAGAAGCGAGCCUAACUGCGAGACUGACGGGUCGAGCAGUAACGAAAGUUGGAGUUAGUGAUCCGGUGGUAUGUGAGUGGAAAUGCCAUCGCUCAACGGAUAAAAGUUACCCUGGGGAUAACAGGCUGAUCUCCCCCAAGAGUCCACAUCGACGGGGAGGUUUGGCACCUCGAUGUCGGCUCAUCGCAUCCUGGGGCUGUAUUCGGUCCCAAGGGUUUGGCUGUUCGCCAAUUAAAGCGGUACGCGAGCUGGGUUCAGAACGUCGUGAGACAGUUCGGUCCCUAUCUGUCGUGGGCGCAGGAUAUUUGAUGGGAGCUGUUCCUAGUACGAGAGGACCGGAGCGGACGUACCUCUGGCGCACCAGUUGUUCUGCCAAGGGCAUAGCUGGGCAACUAUGUACGGAUCGGAUAAACGCUGAAAGCAUCUAAGCGUGAAGCCGACCCAAAGAUAAGAUAUCCCAUUGUUUCAAACAAGUAAGACCCCUUGAAGACUACAAGGUUGAUAGGCACGAUGUGUAAGUGGAGUGAUCCAUUCAGCAAGCGUGUACUAAUAGGUCGAGGGCUUGACCACAA
rnacentral:rRNA from 1 species